rnacentral:rRNA from 1 species
GACGAACCGAGCGAACGUUGUUCGGAAUCACUGGGCUUAAAGGGCGCGUAGGCGGGCGGCUAAGUCUGCGGUGAAAUCCCCCAGCUCAACUGGAGAACUGCCUCGGAUACUGGGUGCCUCGAGGGUGGCAGGGGUAUGCGGAACUAUCGGUGGAGCGGUGAAAUGCGUUGAUAUCGAUAGGAACUCCGGUGGCGAAGGCGGCAUACUGGUCCACUUCUGACGCUGAGGCGCGAAAGCCAGGGGAGCAAACGGG